rnacentral:lncRNA from 1 species
UAAGUGAUAAUGCUAUAUUUUUAUAAAAGAACUUCUACUUACUUUAUAUGGCUGUAAAAAGAAAAAAUAAGGUAGAUUAGCAAAGGUAAUAUUACAAGUACCUUAUGAAUGAAGUAAAGAAUAGUAAUUAAAAAUAAUCAUUUUGAUAAAUCUUAAGAUAAUACUGGUGGAGAUUCAUUUAUAAACCAAGGUUAAAACCAAAUCUU